AUGGUACCGGAGCUGAAGCUGCAACCGAUGCUCACCAGGCCCACGGCCGACGCUGCACCACAGAGAAGUUCAGCCGGGAGGAGGAGGCCUCGGGAAGCGGCAGCCCAUCGCCGAUGGCCAGGGAGCGGCGGCGUCUACAGCCUACACGUGAAGUCGUGCGGCAGGCUGAAGAGGAGGACGCCAGCCGCAGACUCCGGCGGCGACCACCGUGCCGUAGAGGCGACGCGCCGGCUACAGGAGAGCCUCGUCGUAGUAAAGGAGUCGGGGGACCCGGAUUUCCCGGCGAGCAUGGCGGAGAUGAUCGCGGCGGACGACGACGUCCGGGCAUCGGCGAGGGGCCUUGAGGAGCCGCUCGCGUGCUACCUCACCUUCAACGACGCCGAGCACAACCCCGCCAUCGUCGCCGCGUUCCGAGCCACGGCGCUGUGA
rnacentral:rRNA from 1 species